UACAGAGACUGCGAGCGUUAUUCGGAUUUACUGGGCGUAAAGAGCGCGCAGGCGGUCGUGCAAGUCGCGUGUGAAAGCCCCCGGCUCAACUGGGGAGGGUCACGCGAUACUGCUCGACUUGAAGGCAGGAGAGGGAAGUGGAAUUCCCGGUGUAGUGGUGAAAUGCGUAGAUAUCGGGAGGAACACCAGUGGCGAAGGCGACUUACUGGACGACUGUUGACGCUGAGGUGCGAAAGCGUGGGGAGCAAACAGG
rnacentral:rRNA from 1 species